AUUAAUAGCCUUUUAGCACUUACUUCCAAAGCUUCUUUAUCCAUGGUGUUCAGAGCAAUUUAUUCACUAAAAUAACUCAACUUCUUAACUGCAUAAACUACCUUACCCAAAGAGAAACUUUCCAUUUCCAAAAUCCAAAAUCCAAACUUUUUUCUUCCUAAAAAUACAUAUAUUUUCCCCUGUUUCUUGAUGAUGAAUCAAUUGUAUUCUGUUAAAGAGGAGUUCCCGGGGUCAAGUUCUGGUGGCAAGCCCCCACCGCCGACACCACAACCAAUGGAAGGGCUUCAUGACAUUGGUCCACCACCAUUCCUUACAAAGACAUAUGAAAUGGUGGAUGAUUCAACUAUAGAUCAUGUUGUUUCUUGGAACAGAGGAGGUCAAAGCUUCGUAGUCUGGGAUCCUCAUGCCUUUUCAACUACACUACUUCCCAGAUUCUUCAAACAUAAUAAUUUCUCGAGCUUUGUCAGACAGCAAAAUACGUAUGUAAGUAUAACUUAGUCAAAAAUCAGUUAACUCCUCUAAUACAUUUUUUCAAGUGGGAAAUUUGUAUUUACUUUCUUUCAAAUAUAUUUGUUCGCUCCUGAUUGCUAAAUCUUUGUGAACAUACAAGUGAACAAGGUUAUUAUAGGACGAAGAGAUAUGUAUUUGUAUUUGUAUAUACAGUCCCUCACGCUUUAUAUCAAUUCAAAUGCAAAUUAUACAUUUGUGUUUGUAUAAAGUGAGAGAGGCGAAGAGAGAUCAGUGAGAGUGCGAGUGAGAUUCCAGAAAGAGGGAAGAGAGGCGAAUGACAAGAAGUUUGCUGCGAAUUGAAAUUAAAUGAAACCGUAGGUAUAUCAUUCAUUUUGAAUUAAUAGUUUGCUAUAAUGUACAAUUUUCCUUUUUACUCCUUUUCUUCUCGUUCUCAUUUUUUGGUAAGAAUAUUUUUAUAGUAAGAAAUAAUAAUUUUAGCUAAGUGGGCAACGAUUUUGAAGAGAUUGUGAAUUUCCCGAAAAGAAGUUGUUGAUCUUUCAGACAAUUUAAUUAUGAAAAAGUAAAUAAUUAGACAUACUUUGUUAUCAUAUAUAUUAUUAUUAUCUAUACUUUCAAAAUAUUAUAUAUCUUACCACUAAUUAAGAGUUCCCUACCAUAUAUUGAAAAAAAUACACGUAAAUAUAUGUAUUUUUGCUAUCAGAUAUACAAAAAUAGGGAGAGAAACGAGCAGAUUGCAGAGGGAGGCGAGUGAGAUUAGUAUGUAUCCUAGAUGCAUAUGAAUCAUUCUCGAUACACACCAGAAACAUAUAUAUAUAUCUGGUAUGAUUCACAUGUAUCUGGAAUACCAUAUACCUGGAAAGUGACAAGCAAGAUGAGAGAGAGGUGACGGGGAUGAGCUAGAUUUGUUAUGUAUCCCCGAUACAUGUGAAUCCACUUUGAUACAAUGUAUUUAGAACAAACUACACUUAAUUUUGACCUCAUGUAUUUGAAUGUAUCUGGAUACACCAAAAUCUGGUAAAAUACGUAAUAUUGCAAAUUAGAGUGUAUCUAAAUAACUAGCUCCCAAACUAGUAAGAUUUAUGUGAGUUUCCUUUUAAUUAUUAUAUAGCAUCAGGGUUAAGUUUCUAAUUAGUUUCUUGUAAUUCUUUUGGGCAUGCAGUAUUGGACAAUAUGUGGACUCCCAAAUUGAGAUUUGAGAAGAAAGAGCACCAAGCUAAUCUAAGUACUAUUACUUAUAUGUGUAAUAUUGUAAACAUAUUUUCCUUCCUAGCUACGUACUCUUGUUUUUGCUUAAGUAUUGUAUCUUUUGACUUAAUUUUGUGUGAAGAAGAGUGUAUGAUCAGUGCUAUAUAUAUGAAAUAAAACAAAUAUUAUUAGUAAGUUCUCUUAAAUUUUGCUAUAGAUGGAUCGUUAUUAUUUAUUUUAGGUUGUACGCAACUUUUACGUUCCUUCAAGUACAGACUUGGUCGUUCAAAAAGUUUAACAUGUUUCUGACUCGGUUUGGUCCGUUCGCCGUAUGUGACUAGCACUUCACAAGGCAACUUAUCUUCAAUAGGGGCCUUUAGUUUUUUAUUAGAGUAGGGGUCGUGAGAACAGAGCGUACCGCCCUGUUAUAAUUAUAAUCACGAGUUUGUUUAUAGUCGUGAUUGUUGUCAUAGUCAAUAAAGUUAAACGUUCCAGGAAAAAACUUUGAAUUAGGAGGGCGAUCCUCCUAGUGAAUUGGCCAUACCGUAAACCGAUAUACUAGGGCUCUUGAGAGAACCAUGUCAAAGGAACUUGACAAAUGACCAUGUAUAGGAACUAGAAACAGCUUUAGAAGCACAAAAUUGCGCGUCUUGAUCAAGCUCAACAUUACACACAACAUUUGAAAUUAAUUCGAUAAGUUGAAGUUGCAUCAUGUCUUGUCUAAUCACCUUUCUCCAAAUAUUUCUUCGACCUACCUCUCCCUCUCUUUAUGUCAUCCAUAUCCAACCUCUCACACCUCCAUACUGGGACAUCCGUACAUUUUUGUUUAGUUGAAAGUCCUAGUAGAGAAUUGGUAUCCAAAUAAAUUGAUGUUACUCCUCUUGUCAACAAUCAAACGAUCAAUUGUCAUUUGUCACGACACCAAAUUAAACUGAUAAUUCCUAUCAGUUUACACUAGGAGAAUUUAUUACAGUUGAAACUUGAAAACAAAUGUGCUAUCAUAUAUAUGUAAGCAUUUUAAAUUUAUUUUAUUCGAAAAUUAGAACUUUCAGCUAAACAAAGAAGUUCACAAAAUAUCUUUAUUAAGUAAAGGAUGUAACAACUGCAUAAAAGUCAAUUUUACCAGUUUCUAUUAUAUUAGCAAAAAGAAGACGUCUCUAAACGUCUCAUGCAUUAACUCGAAACAAAUCGAAUUUCCACACUUACUAAACUGUGACAAUUUCUCAAUUCCAUGCAGAGUACAAUAUUUUAUAUAUAGAAAAUAGGUACAUAAAAGAAGAGAGUUUUUAAUAUUAGAAUUUCACAAAAAUAUGUAAAGCCAGAGGACUUUGAUUUGUACCUUUUAUUUUUGGUGUGUGAUUGGAUUUUUUUUAACAAAUAUCAAUAUAACAAAGUUAUCCUUAUACAAGGGGAGUGAAUUGGCACCGUCUCGUUGGCAAAUUAUAACGUAUAAAUAGGUCAAAAUUUUCUUUUUAUGUAGAUAUAUUAUAUGUUAAAUUUUUUUAAUAAAUAAAAUUAUAUUUUAACUCUAAUAUGGCACUCAUGUGGGGUAAGGUUAUCAUAUAUAGUUGUGGCUCCAUGGCCAAAAUAAAAAUAAAAUUAUUUUUUAAAUAAAGUAUACACACAUAUAUACACACACAUAUAUAUAUAAUCAUACGCAAAAUUAUCUUACAAGGUGUUAUCAUCAUCAGUGGUGUGAUCAGUUCGCAUCACAUUUAGAUUUUAGGGUGAGUCUCGACCUAGACCUAACACAUGAAAAGAAUUAAUUAAUCUUGCUAGGUUCCGUUUAAUAUAAUUAUUAAACACUCGUACAUGAGUAUAUCAACUAUAACAUAUAUUUUUUAGUUAGUCUAAAAAAAAUUAUUUUUAUAUUACUAAUAAAUUUAUUUUAAAAUAUUCAUUUUACUCUUUUUUAAUUUAUAGUGACACACAUUUAUAUAUAGGGGUGUGUAUCGAUUAGUACGGUUUGGUGUAUCGAUUUUUUAUUUUAAAAUAUGCUAAACCAAUAACUAAAUCAAUAAGAUAUUUUUUAUCAGUUUUUAGUUUAUUAAUUGUGGUGCUUAACGGUUCGGUUUUCAGUUUAGCCAAUAAAAAAGAUGCUCAUAAAAUAAACAGAGAAGGGUCUAAAAUGCCCCUAAAGUAUUUGAAUUGGUACAAAAUUACCCUUCAUUCACCUAUCGGCCCUAAAAUACCCCUGACGUCCACCUUUCUGCUCAAAAAUACCCUCGAUGUUAAUCAUUUGACUCAUAUUUGCCCUUAUUUUUAAUACCUCCCUUAAAGUAAAAUUAUUAAAUAUUUAUUUAUUAUAUUGCUUAAUGUGAUUGGUCCAAAUUUAAAUCCUUUCUCAUAUAAAUAAUAAAAAUGAUAUUUUUAAAAUUCUAUUUUUCUAUCAAAACCACUUAUGAUUCAUAUUUUGAUCCGAUACACUUGAAAAUAAUAUUGAAAAAAUAAUUAAUUUCAUGAUAUCUUCCUAUUGGCCUAUUUUAAAUCAACCCCAAUUUAUUAUAACGUAACCCAACUCAUAAAUGGGGAUCCAACUAAAAUCCAUGCUUACCCCGACCGAUUGUCCAUCUAAAAAAAUUAUUAUUUUCAUUAAUAUAAAAUGUUCUCUCAAUUAUCCAAAUGUCUUGUUCAUUUCCUCUCUUAUUCCUUUUUUUAAUCUUUUAUUCUUAAUUAGGAUAUCCGGGACUCAAACUUGAAAUGAACUCACAUAUUUAUAUUGUUUUAAUUCGUAUUAUAUUAUCACGAUGGGAUGAGGGUGGGGAUAAGAGAAAUGAUUAUUUUUACUUUUAUUUUUAAUUUUGGGUUCACACAAAAAAAUGUAAUAUUUGUACAUAUUUGCUUAAUUAAGUCAUCUUUUAUUGAAUUAAUUAUUUCUAUAUGAAUGCAUCGUUAUUUUCCUCCUUUUUUUCUCUCUUGUUUGUCAUAAAUUAAUUAAAAAAAUUAAAAUGAUGGACAAGAUCCAAAUAGAAAAAAAAUGGAAGAGAUAGGAAGUGAAGGACCGGGGAGGGAGGAGUGUAGAGAGUAGACACCUAACCUUUUUAUAAUUUUAAAUUAACUAUGAAAUUCAAAUUCAAGUCAAUCAUGUGAGCUUAUAUAUUAAGUAAUUUCAAAUUAUUUUAAUGGAAAAGAGCCUAAAAUGUCCUUAAACUAUGAUAGUUGGUACAAUACUACCCUUCAUCCACCUAAUGAGUAUGAUCUGUUAGACAUAAGGGUAUUUUUGAGCCGAAAGGUGGACGUCAGAGGUAUUUUAGGCCUGAUAGGUGGAUGGAGGGUAACUUUUACCAAUUCAAACACUUGAUGAUUUUUCCAAUAAUUUAGCACGACAAGACAAUAAUGUAUCUUUGCAUAAUGCUCAUAAAAAUAAAAAUAGUAAUAACUAAUAUGAAAAAAACUAUACAAGUACAACAGAAAUAAAGCACUAUCACAGUGAUGUGAAUUGAAAGCUGAAGGGAAAAUAUAGUAACUACAGUAGUAAGGUACCGAUACUAAUAUUUAAUAUUUAUGCAAGGGCAAAGUAGAAAAUUAUUACCGUCUUAAUGAGUUAUUGAUUUACCCAAUAUUUAAAAAUCAAAAUCAAAUCGAUAACCCAAUAAUUUAUUUUAUAAAAUCAUUAAAAAUUCAUUAACCCAAUAGCAAUAAAAAAAUAUCAUUUAUUUUGAUUCGAUUUAUUGAUCCAUUCAAUUUUUGCACAUUCAUACGGUGACGGAUCUAGGAUUUUCAUUCAGGGGGUUCAAACAAUAAAAAUAUAAACGUGUGAAUAAGCACGUUUGAAUUUUUUUGGGUCUAAUUAAAUAUACUCUUUUUUUAUAAAAAAAAAACGUGAAAGAUUGGUCCUGAAACUAAAUGAAGAGAAGGUAAAAAAAUAAAAUGACCACAAUGGGAUUAGAAAACCCUAGACAUGAGGGCCAAUCUAAUAGAAGAUCUACCACUAGACCACAACUUACUUCUUUUUCAUGAUAGGGUUCAAAAUUAUUAUAUCUGCAUAAAUUCAGAAAAUCUACCUUAUAUAUAUAAUGUAAUUUUUUGUCGAGGAGAUUCGGGUGAACUUCAGAGACCACGUGGAUCUGCCCCUGCAUCCAUACAUUCCUGACUUAUUUUAGACAAUAUUUUUAAAAAAAUUAUCUUAUAUUCAUGUCAAAUCAAAUUAUGUAUCAUAAAUUAAAACGAAAUAAAAUAUUCGAUCAACGGAUUAAAAAUAUCUUGCCGCCGAUGGCAAGGCCUUUAUUCUUUAGCAUAUAUCGAGGAGCCGAAAUUUAUAUUUGGCAGUUGGCACUUGGUGGAGCUCUUCUUGUAACAAGUCAUCAAAAUCUUUUAUUCUCCACUAUAUAUUAUAAAAAUAAAUAUUCUUUUAACAGUACACCACACCCUCUGCAAUCUGAAAACUAAAAAAAUUAAAAAACUGAAAAAAAAAUAAUUAAAAAUUAUAACGUCUGGAAACUCUAGAACAUACUAGAACAACAAUUAGUAACUACUAAAUAUAUCAUACUUGUUCUUCGUGCUCGUGGUCCUACUAGAGUUGGUGUUUAUCUAUACCGUCAAAUUAGCCUUCUUUUUAAUGUUAUUAAAUUAAUCUUAUACUAUUAUUAGUAUUAUAUUCCAACAUUGGUACAGUAUAUAUAAUAUAAUAUUAGUAGUAUGUUCAGCUGAGUGGGACUAGAUAUGCACCAUUUAAAUUUUGGGGUCAUGAUGAGAGAUCACAAGUAGCACUUUAAGUAAGUGUUUUGACCAUAAAUUUUAAAUAUUUUUUAUUUUAUUUAAAAUUUAUGGAAAUAAAAUGAUAUUUAAUUAUAGUUUUGUAAAAUUUGAAACAAUGUUUAUGUUUAAACAAUUUAAAUAUAAUUUUAAAAAAGAAAAGUGAGUUACAAAAUAAAUUAUAGUCUUUAUUUGUAGUAGUUUGUAGGAUGAGUCUGUAUCGUCUUUUCGAUUUUAAAGUAAGGAUGUUACUAGUCCAUUAACACAGGCUUAGAUCUAUUUUGUAAGUGAGCAGUUUUUGAUAGGUCUGCAAAAUUAAUCACUGUUGAUGACAUCACAUUAUCUUAAAUUAAGAAUAAUAAUUUAAUAUAAUGAAAAAAUGCUAGGCAACAAGAAUAGGUAUUAUUUUUCAAAUUUGAAAUUUUCAUUAUCAAGAAUUUUUUUUAACUAAAGUAAAUUACUCUAAAAAAAUAAAUCUUUUUAAUCAACGCCUUACGCAUUUGUGCCUUGAUGGUGUCAGAAUAAAAUUUUAAUACAUUAUUAAACCCACUGUAACGAGGCAAAUUUUAAUACUAUUUUAGUACGAUAAUGAAUUCCAACUUUGCCACGCAGUGAACCACAAAAAGAUAAUAAUAAAAAUACAAAGGAAUCAACAAAUUGCUGACUAUUUUCCAAACACUACAAUGUUGUUGCCAGUUGUCCUAGGUGUCUUUUUUGAUACUCCUCCCAUCUAUUUUUAUUUAUUCGUUAUAUUAAAAAUAAUGUUUUUGCUCAUAAGAACAUGAGUGAGUAGUUAAAAGGUGUGGAUUUUUUAUAUAGGAGAUUUGGAAUCGAAUUUAAUCCAUGUAUGUUAUUUGAUUAAACUUGUCGCAUGGAGCUUGUAUAGUGCAGUUCGCAUCUCUUAUAUCGUUUGCGACUUUUACAUAGUGGGUGAAGUUCGUAAAAAAAUAUUUUUACAUAUUCAACUUGAAAACUUAAAACAUAAUUAUUAUUUUGUAUUUAUUUCAUCUUUAUAAUUGAGUACUAAGUAUUGAUAUUUAAAUAUUAUAAAGAACAAUAAAAUAAAAUUAUCAAUUUCAUUAUUUAUUACUUAUUAAAAAAUAUAUUUAGUCAAACAUAAGCAAGUAAAUAUAAAUAUGAUCGGAGGAGAGUAGUAACUAUGCUACUUCAUGUUGAUGGAUUCUUAUGUCUUUUAAGAAAUUACAUUAUUCAUUUUAACAUUUAAUGUAUUAAAAUGUAAACUAUAAGUAUCUUGAAAUUUAAAAGUUUAGCUUGAAAAUUUAAAGAAGUUGUUAAAAUGCAUGUAUCUAAACUAUUUAAAUUAACUAGGAUUAAUUCUUUAUAUGAUAAUCCAUGUAUCCGAUUCUUUUUGUUUUUACCUUUUUUGGACAAAUUCUAUAUUUCGUGUCUCCUCCUAAAUUAGACUAUUAAAACUUAAGAUGAUUCGUCUUAAUUUUAACUUACAAAUGCAUUUGACUUUAUACCACUUUGACAAAGACACGUCCGUCGACGUGUCUGCUUCAGCUGCUUGCUUCAGCGUGUAUUUUUUAAAAAAAAAAAAAAAUUUUGUUCUACUUUAAUUUAAUUAGUGUAUAAUUUUCUUAGGAGUAUUAUAUAAGAGACAGUUUGUACUGAAGCAGGCAUGUCUCUAUCGACGUGCUUGCUUCAGCGUGUUUUUUUUAAAAAAAUUAAAAAUUUAUUUCUUUUGUUCUACUUUAAUUUAAUUAGUGUAUAAUUUUUUUAAAAUUAUGGAAUCCGUUUUAGCUAUGACUUUUAGUUUUAAAUUCAAGACUUCACGCUGAAGAAUGCACAUCUUCGUCAACGUGCCUGCUUCAGUCUGUUUCGAAAAUUUCUUUCAGUUUUUUUUUACUUCUUUUGUUAAUUAAUCAAAUAAAUUAAUAAUUAAUUAUAUUAAAUAUAUAUAACAAAAUUAUUUAAAAAUUAUAAUAAAAUGUCUACAUAAAUAUUUAACGUAGUAUAAUUGGAGUUAGACUUUACUAAAACUCAUGUAUACUUUGACACUAAAUGCUUGUUGAUAAGUAUGUGGAUAUGUUUGAACUUGAUAAUAUGAAAUAUGAUGCUUGAGUGCAUGAGUGGAUUGGAUACUAUAGAGUAGAACCACGCUGAUAUGGUACAUGAAUGGAAGCUAACCCCCUAUAGAUCAUGGUUAUUAGGCAUUCAUAAGACCCAUAAUGUUGUGUGAGUUCAUGAUGCAUUAGCUAUUAAAUGACUCUAUGACCUAUUAUAGAUAUGGUUGAUUUUGUGGUGACUAUACUUAUAUACUGCCAGUUGAUGUCUUGUGCUAAAGUUUGACUUAUGUGUUGUUUGGCUUACUGUUGCUUGUUUCUAAUUUGAGUCGGCCUAUAAUGUCUACCAAUUACUAAUGACUUGUAUUGAUAUUGUCUUGUACUCUUCUUUUAAUUUAUUGAAUGUAGAUCAUGUUCUAAAAGUUCUUUCGAGACCCCAAUUCUAGCGUAGUCAGUAGAUUUCGAUUAACACGACCAACCACAAACCAUGCAUAUGAGAGAUUAACAAUCUUCUCUUCGGGGUCAGUGGCAUCCUUGUUAUCAUGAUAUAGUCUAAAUUAAUGUCUGAAUCAUCAAGAUUCAAAUCAGACAUCUUCUAUAUCUAUGUAUUGUCAUCAUUUGAACGAGAACGAAAGCUCUCAUGUAGAGAGAUUUUUUUUUAAAAAAUGUUCUUCAAAUUGAAGGCAUCUGUCAAGUUUAAUUAAUAUUUUUGAAAAAAAAAUACAACCUUGAAUGAAAAUCUAAAUAAAGUUUAAUAAAAUUUGUAAAUAAUCGAACAAAAAAUACGAAAUUUGUCAAUUUAGUAAAAUUCGUGGACAAACUUAACAAUAUGCGAAAUGGAACCAAUCUCAAAACAUCCUCUUAACCAAACAAUAUUAAUCGAUUGAUGAAAUUUAUGAACACUUUAACAAGAUAUAUCGGUAGAAUAAAUACAAUAUCAAAAGUAGGCGUUUGGCCAUGCCAAUAUGAAUUGAUUUGGCGAAUAUAAAUAAGAACGGAGGGAGUAAUACUUUUUGGUUUUUCAUAAUAAAAAAACUUCUCUUUCGGCUACAUAUGGAAAUGUUUAAAACAAUUUAAUAUGAAAAAUGACAAAAUUGGUGAUGUAUGUUUGAUAAUCAUUACUUCCAAUAUGUUUGAUUUUAGCACGAAAUUAAUGCACUGAAAAUGUGUAAUUGCACACAAGUGAAACAAGUCAUGAACCAUAUGAUAUUGACAUACAAGUGAAAAUUGUCAUAACUUUUAUAGUGUUACAUAAUUAUUUGCGAUAAUACCAAAGGAGUGAUAAAAUAUUUAUGGUCUGUGAUCAUGAAACUAUAGUUGUGAAUGAUAUUGACCAACAAAUGACUCAAAGUAACAAUGUUGGUUCGUCUUCUAGGUCAUAUGAUCGAGAAAUGCAAGUUCAACGUGAGAAGAUUGUUCGUACUAUGUGGGAGGAUUAUAUUAAAUACUAGUACACUACAAUUUAUGUUCAAUAUUUUUUAUUGAAUUAAAGUUAGAUGACACAGUUAAUUAAGUGGAGAACAAAUAGCUUUGUAAUAAUUUAUUAUGCGAUUUUAUAAUUUUUUGUAAUUUGAUAAGAUUGAAUAAACAAUUGGAGCUAUUUUAAUAGUUUUAUAACUUAUGAGAUUCUUAUGUUUAUGAGAAAAUAUACAACACAAAAAUUUCAUAUCACAUGAAUUUCAUAUCACAUGUCCAAACAAAACUCCAACUUUAUCGCAUGAUUUCAUAUUAUGAUAUUAUAUCAUGAUUCUAUAUCGCAUGACCAAACGGGCCUAAAAUUGUCUCAUCCAACAUAAUUUGUUAAUAAGAUGAGAUUUCUAAAUCAAUAAAACUUAUGAACAAUUUAACCAAAUAAACAAAGUGAAAAUAAUAUAAUCUCUAUCACCUUUUGCAUGAUAUUUUUCCACCAACCCCCUUUCUUUGUUUUUUUUUUCAUUUCUUGAUAGUAUAUAGUUUUCAUUUUUUUAAUGAUGUCAAUCAAUAAUAGGGCAGUCAAUCCCACAAAUCAAGUUGCCCCAAACUGCUGUUUCAAAAAUCACUUCUUGCAACUUGCAAGCAACUUGCAACUCUUGUGGGCCCAAACCACACCUCAACCAUACCUAAGUUCCAGAACUUUCUUAUAAAGAACCUUCUCCUCCUUCCAAUUUCGAAACUACUUAUUAUUAAAAAAAUUGGAUUACAUAUAUUAUUCUCUCCGCUCCGUGUCAGCACACUUUCUUUUAGGUCCGUCUUAAAAAGUAUUACACAUUUUCUCAAAUAUUUAAUAAUAAUAUCAAUAUCUUAUGUAUGUUAGAUGACUAGAUCUACCACACAUAUAAAAUGUAAUUUUAUAUUUUAAAUUUUCAUAUCUUGUUAAACUACAUACAUAAAUUGAAACGGAGGAAAUAAUAAAUAAAAAAUUGCAUAGGAGGAAGAUGCUCACACCCCAAAUGUCUAGAAGUCUAGAACCUUCCACUUAAACAAUAUUUUAUUAGUACUAUCUUCUUUUUUUAAUUAUUUCUUAGCAACUCAAUAGGUGGAAUUGCUGACUCUUCUUUUCUAUUAAUAAUUAAUAGCCUUUUAGCACUUACUUACAAAGCUUCUUUAUCCCUGGUGUCCAAAGCAAUUUAUUCACUAAAAUAACUCAACUUCUUAACUGCAUAAACUACCUUCCCCAAAGAGUUGAGGAAUUGACAUAGAUAGACAAGUGUUACAUACAAUUGACAACAUAUAGCUCAAUAUUAAUUAGCAAUUAAUAAACAAAUAAAAAAUUGGCACAUAUUAGCCUAAAAAUAAUAUAUACAUUUUCUAAAUUAUUUUAUUAAUAAUAAAAGAUAUUUAAUAUCAUCUCUCUUCUAACUUCCAACCAUUACUCCUUACAACUAGCAAAAGAUUAUUUAGAAUUAUCUCUCCUUUCAAAUUAUUACGUAUUUUUUUUUAAAUAAUAAAAGAAAAUUAAUUACAUCCUUCUUCUAACUUCCAACCAUUUCUCCUUAAAACUAGCAAAAGAUUAUUCCUCUCUCCUUUCAAAUUAUUUCGUAUUUUCAAAAAUAAUAAAAGAAAAUUAAUACCAUCUCUAUUCUAUCUUCCAAUCAUUUCCACUUAAAACUAGCAAAAUACUGUUUAGAAUUAUAUCUUUUCUUAAAAUUAGCAAAUAAUAUUUUGAUUAUGAUUAUUCUUAUUUCAAAGGUAUUCCUAUGAGUUCAUUACCUGACAAUUAUUUUGCCUUUGAACUCAAUCCAUAUUGAAUACAUUUGUUUGUAUUCAUAAUAAAUUGAUAUACAUUUAUAUUUAUUUGCAUUAAUAUCUUCCAAAUUUUACAUAGGUAUACAUUUGUAUUGGAUACAUUCGUCUAUAUUCAUUUAUAAAUUGAUAUACAUUUGUUUGCAUUAGUAUCUUUCCAAUUUUACAUAGGUAUAUAGUUGCUUGCAUUACUAUUUUGGAAUGAAAUCAACAAAAUUCAUUAACAAAUUUUAAAAAGUUUACAUUGUUAUGUGUUCGUUUGUAUUCAUUAACAAAUUUAGAUACAUUUGUUGGAGACAAAAUAAAUAUUCAUUAUCAAAUUCAAAUAAUGAAAUUCAACAUUUUAAAAAAUUGUCAUAAAUAUAUUAAUUAAUAUUUAUUAAAAAUUGAAAAAACAACAAUUCUAGAAAUCACGAAACGUUGCAAUUUUUUGGGGAAGAAAACGUUGUAGAAUUAUAAUACAAAUACGAAAGUUUUUCAAAAGAAAAAAAUCUUGCAUCUAACUACAAGAUAAAGAAUUUAGAAAAUUUCAACUUUUUUUUAAAAAAUAACCCAAACAAUCAAUAUAAAAAAUUGGUAUGAUUUGAUUUACUUAUUGUGAAGAGUUAACUGUUGUGAUUGAUCUUUAAUGGAAAUAUUUUAGAGAAGAAAAUAGAAAUCCUAAACUUGAAAGAGGGAGAAAAAAAGGAAGAAAGAGAGAAAUUGAAAAAUACCAUAAUUCUUUUUGUUUAUAAAUUAUAAGGAGAGAGAAAAGAAACAAUAAAAGAAAACGUCCUAACUCCUGGGAAAUAGAGAGAGAAAAUAAGGAAAAUAUAUCAGUUUUUAAAAAAAGAGAAUGUGGCUAUUUAAUAUCAAAUAAAUAUUAAAAAAUCUUAUUUUGCUAAAAAGUUUAAAGUGGACUAUUUAUUGUCCAUAAAGACUAUGGAUUGUCAUGCUAUGCCAUUUUUUCAUUUUUAAAGUGAGUAACUUAAUUUUAGCCCGGAGAGGUCAAACUUCAUAUACAACUUACAAGUGUUUAUCGCAACUUCAAUUGCAUUAAAAUUUGGAACAAAGUGGUCAAACCGAUGUGUGUCAAUGCAAACAUAUGAAUAUUUCUACAAAUCAAUUGUUGCAUUAUAAUACUAAGUGCAACUUAACAAACUUAGAGGUCGUUUUGAUACGAUAUAUUAGAGAAAGUAAUACGUAAUAUGGUAUAUAAUCUAUUUAAAUUUAAUUUAGUUACUUUGGAAUAUUAAUAUAAUGCGCAAAAAAGUUUAUAUAUGCCACUAAAUUUUGGAAAUCGGGUCAAUUAUGGCAUCUGUCAAUAAUUAAUGUAAUAUGUUGUUCUUAUUUUAUCAUUGGGCGAAAUAUACCCUUAUUUAUUAAUGUGAGUUCAUGAUGCAUUAGCUAUUAAAUGACUCUAUGACCUAUUAUAGAUAUGGUUAAUUUUGUGGUGAUUAUACUUGUCUACUGUGAGUUGAUGCUCUGUGCCAAAGUCUUAUUUAAUUACUUGUUGUUUGUCUUACAUGUUGCUUGUUUUUAAUUUGUGUCGGCCAAUAAUAUAUACCAAUACUUAAUGAUUUGUAUUGAUACUACCUUGUACUCUUCUUUUAUUGAAUUCAAAUCGUGUUCUAGAAGUUCUUUCAAGACUCCAAUUCUAGCGUAAUUAGCAGAUUUCGAUUAACACGAUCUAUCACAGACCAUGAGAGAUUAACAAUCUUCUCUUCGGGGUCAGUGGCAUCCUUGUUACCAUGAUAGUCUAAAUUAAUGUCUGAAUAUCUUCUCUAUCUGUAUAUUGUCAUCAUUUCAAUGAGAAUGAAAGCUCUCGCGUAGAGAGAUUUUUUUUUUUUUAAAAAAAUGUUCUUCAAAUUGAAGGCAUCUUUCAAGUUUAAUAAAUAUUUUUGAAAAAAAUACAAACAUUGAAUGAAAAUAUAAUUAAAGUUUAAUAAAAUUUGUAAAUAAUUGAUCAAAAAAUACAGAAUUUGUUAAUUUAGUAAAAUUUGUGGACACCUUAACAAUAUGUGAAAUGGAAGUACUACUCUCACAACAUGCUCUUAACAAUAUUAAUCGAUUUAUAAAAUUUAUGAACAAUUUAACAUGAUAUAUAGGUAGAAUAAAGAUAAUAUUAAAACUAUGUCUCAUCCAACAUAAUUUGUAAAUAAAAUAAGAUUUCUAAAUCAAUAAAACUUAUGAACAAUUUAACCAAAUAAACAAAGUGAAAAUAAUAUAAUCUCUAUCACCUUUUGCAUGAUAUUUUUCCACCAACCCCCUUUCUUGUUUUUUUUUCUUGUCUUGAUAGUAUAUAGUUUUCAUUUUUUUUUAAUGAUGUCAAUCAAUAAUAAGGCAGUCACAAUCCCACCAAUCAAGUUGCCCGAAACUGCUGUUUCAAAAACCACUUCUUGCAACUUGCAACUCUUGUGGGCCCAAACCACACCUCAACCAUACCUAAGUUCCAGAACUUUCUUAUAAAGAACCUUCUCUUCCUUCCAAUUUCGAAACUACUUAUUAUUAAAAAAAUUAGAUUACAUAUAUUAUCCUCUCCGCUCCGUUUUAACACACUUUUCUUUUUAGUCCAUCUUAAAAAGUAUUACACAUUCUCUCAAAUAUUUACUAAUAAUAUCAAUAUAGAUGACUAAAUCUACCACACAUAUAAAAUGUAAUUUUCUAUUUUAAUUUUUCAUGUCCAAUCAAACUACGUACAUAAAUUGAAACGGAGGAAAUAAUAAAUAAAAAAUUGCAUAGGAGGAAGAUGCUCACACCCAAAUGUCUAGAAGUCUAGAACCUUCCACUUAAACAAUAUUUUAUUAGUAUUAUCUUUUUUUUAAAAUUAUUUCUUAGCAACUCAAUAGGUGGAAUUGCUGACUCUUCUUUUUUUAUUAAUAGCCUUUUAGCACUUACUUCCAAAGCUUCUUUAUCCAUGGUGUUCAGAGCAAUUUAUUCACUAAAAUAACUCAACUUCCUAACUGCAUAAACUACCUUACCCAAAGAGAAACUUUCCAUUUCCAAAAUCCAAAAUCCAAACUUUUUUCUUCCUAAAAAUACAUAUAUUUUCCCCUGUUUCUUGAUGAUGAAUCAAUUGUAUUCUGUUAAAGAGGAGUUCCCGGGGUCAAGUUCUGGUGGGGGUGAGCCCCCACCGCUGACACCACAACCAAUGGAAGGGCUUCAUGACAUUGGUCCACCACCAUUCCUUACAAAGACAUAUGAAAUGGUGGAUGAUUCAACUAUAGAUCAUGUUGUUUCUUGGAACAGAGGAGGUCAAAGCUUCGUAGUCUGGGAUCCUCAUGCCUUUUCAACUACACUACUUCCCAGAUUCUUCAAACACAACAAUUUCUCAAGCUUUGUCAGACAGCUAAAUACUUAUGUAAGUAUAUAUAUAUAUAACUUCGUCAAAAAUCAAUGAACUCCUCUAAUACAUUUUUUUUUUCAAGUGGGAAACUUUCGUUCAUAUAUACUUACUUGCUCCUGAUUGCUAAAUCUUUGUGAACACACAAGUGAACAAGGCUAUUAGUAGGAAGGAGAAUCUCAAAAAUAAAUAAAAUCCCAUUUGGAGUAUUAAUGUGAUGAUAUAUGGAUGCAACUUAACUUUUUAGAAUUGUGUUUUUUUUUUAUUAUUAAUUUCAGACGAAUUAAGAUCUGGUGAUGUUCCUCUGAUGAAUCCUUCAAGUUCUGGUGGUUGGUAUAACAUAUUAAAAUAUUCAUCGUGCUGCGGACCCAAAAAAAAAAAAAAGCACUAGUGUCAAGAAUUGUUUGCUAAGAUGGAUCUUGGAAAAAUUUGGAAGAUGAUGAUACUAAGCUGUAGAUGGGAUUUGAUUGUUGCAGGGAUUUAGAAAGAUUGAUCCAGAGAGAUGGGAAUUCGCAAACGAGGCAUUUCUAAAGGGGAGUAAGCAUCUUCUAAGGAACAUCAAGAGGCGAAAAACGCCUAAUUCUCCUACAGAGCAAGGUCUCGGUCCUUGUGUCGAAUUGGGAAGAUUUGGAUUUGAUGGAGAAAUUGAUCGAUUGAGGCGUGACAAGCAAGUAUUGAUGAUGGAACUAGUGAAGCUUAGACAGAAUCAACAGAAUACUCGAGCUUACAUUCGAUCUUUGGAGGUAAAGUUACAAGGAACAGAGAGGAAGCAGCAACAAAUGAUGAAUUUUUUAGCAAGAGCUAUGCAAAAUCCGGAGUUUGUCCAUCAGUUAAUCCAUCAAAAAGGGAAGAGAAUAGAAAUUGAAGAGGAUAUAACUAAGAAAAGGCGACGACCUAUUGAUCAUCAAGGUCCUGUUAGUACAUUACAUGUUGGAGGAUCUAGCCAUUACAUCAAAUCAGAACCCUUGGAAUUCGGAGAGGCUAACGGAUUCCAAGUGUCUGAACUUGAAGCACUUGCAUUAGAAAUGCAGGGAUUUGGUAGAGCAAGAAAAGAUCAACAAGAAGAGUACACGAUAGAAGGGCUUGAACAAUUUGGCAACACAGAUAAAGAACUUGAUGAGGGGUUUUGGGAAGAGCUAUUUAACGAUGAGGACGUGUCUGGAAAUGAAGACCGUGAAGAGGAAGAUGUAGAUGUCUUGGCAGAAAGGUUAGGGUUCUUUUAUUCGAGACCUUAGUAAAAGCCCUAAAACUAGUUUUGUCUCAUGUGCUUUUCCAAGAACUCAUUCAUCAGCUGGACCGUUACAUCGAAAUCUUGUAUGAACUUACAUUGUGUUAUAUACUACUACUACUACUAGUUAACUUAUGUGUCUUGAUUCUGUGUAGUGAGUUUUCAAGUUUUCAACGACGAAUGAAGAAAGCAGCUAUAUGGAUCAACCAGCUACUCGUUGGUAAGUUUUUUCUUUCGGAACAAAUAUUCUAGUCUCUUUCUGUGCAACUUUAGGCCUUUCUUGUAAACUUUAUUUUAAUUUCAUUGACAGGAUAGAUUCAUGAAGGACUCAAGAGUCAAGUCUGAAAAUCCCUUGUUGGUUUUUCUGGUUACUAUUUAUGUUCUCAGUUAUUGGUUUCCUUUCAAUGCCUUUGUUACAUCUCUGCCUCUUAUUCUUGUUUUUUUUCUCUGGAUCCAAAUGCAGGCAUAGGUUAUGCAGAAUUUGAUCAAGUCUAUGGUCUUUCAAGGUCAUUUUGGGUAAUAAAAAAUGUCAACGAGUGCAUGUUGAAUUCUUCAAAAGUAAUGUAUUUUUGAAGAAACUGAUACGAGUGCGGCAUCAAAGUAAUAUUGAAAUGUUGUCCUUGCUUGUGUGGUGAAUAGAUUGUUGUCUUUAUGAUGAAGACAUAGGUAACAAACAGAAAUCCCAAUUACAUCAGAAUCAAGAUUUCACCACAAGUGGCGGUUUGUAACUACUUUGCUGACAAAGAUUUAAUUUGUUUGCCAUUUAGUGUCCUUGUCUCUAUUUGUGAGAAAUGAAUCAUGUCCAAUUGUCCAUGUUCCAUAUAAAAAAAAAUCUCCUUUUGUUGGCUUUAGGAAUGAAAAUUUAAAUAAAAUAAACUAGAAAUGGAGAUGAAACAUAUAAUUAUAUUCGAGUCCACUGAAUUUAGAGUGUAUUCUUAAGAAACUCGAUCCAUGUUAGUAUUGGAGGUAUAGGAUUAUUUUCUCCCAAGAUAAAUCACAUUAACGUAACGAUACUUCAAACUCCAAUGUACAUAAAACUCAAAGAACCAAACCGCUGUGAUUGGCACCCAUACUAACCCUCUGGUGGAAGAACCAUUACUACAACCCAACUAAACAAUACUAACCGAAAGACGGGCAUUUAAAGAUGUGGAAACAGGUUUAAAUAAUUAAUUUAAAAUUUGAGUUCCCAUAAACUCAGUAAGUUUUCAAAAACAAACAUAAACAAAUGGAAAUUCAACCCCUAAAACCUAAAAGUCAUUGUACCACAAUUUCUAACUAAACAGUCUAAGAUAAGGGGAUACAACCCCACAAUAACUAAACAUAAAGUAAAGAUUCUGAAAGGUCUAAGCCCGAAGGAAAUGGACUAAGAUCCUAGAUGAAUAUAAUCCAUGGUAGCCUGAAGGAACUGGCUCACCCUUGAACUCGACAAGUUAGUGAUCUCCUAGCUGAGGUCUCUCAACAGCCGUCUAAAGAUGUCAUGUACUCAACAAAGAAAGAGAAAGUGCAGUAUUAGUACACAAACCAAUGGUAUACUGGUAGAAUCGCGCGACUAUUCCAGUAAAUGAGACAUACACAAGUAACUACUUCAUAUUAAACCACACAUAUACAGAAAGAAUAACAAUUUACCAGUUCAUGCUCAAUAUAUCAGUUUCACAAUAUCAAAUCUCAAAUGCAACAGUCAAUGAUGGUUCUCCCAUGGAACCCACACUCAAACUUUUAGUGUGUCGGAACGUGACACCCGAUCCAAUAAUGUGUCAGAACGUGACACCUGAUCCAAUCAUGUGUCAGAACAUGACACUCGAUCCAAUCAACCACAAUCACAAACAUAAUCAGCACCACAAUGAAUGAUUUACACACUUGUGUCGUACAAUCACGUAACGGUUCAUUGCAUGCUACAGAAUCACAAAUAGUCAUUUCAUUAGAGUCAUUUCAUCUUUCUUUAUUCACUUACAUGCAUGAUUACAAUGGAGUAGUUAGCAGACAUAUAUAACACAAACGGAAAAUCAAAUUAUUACGUACCUUGAAGCCAAGCCUGAACACUCUUAAGGAACUUGAACUUUUCCUUUCCGGAGUCUCUCAGCUUGUUCUUGGUCUAAAACAAGUAAUUAAUGCAAAUGAUCAAUAAUAGUGGCCUAGUUUACUCGGAUUAUAUUCAAAUACUAACCCUUGGAUGAUUCCAUGAUUCUAACACCCAACUAGGGCUUUUUCCACUAUUAAAUUUAAAGCCAAAACCCUCCCCAAGGUUAAAUAGCAAGGAUUCUAAGUUCUAAGAAUCAAUUUACGAAUUAGGGGAGUAAUUGACUUACCUUUAGCGCGAAAAUUAGUGAAAAACAAGAAGAAAUAGCCCUAGGUCGCCCUUUUGCUUUCCAAGAACGAAGUUUGCAGAAAAAUAACAUUUUUGGGACUUUUUCCAUUUUUACUCGCGACUGGCCCGCAAUAGCAGGAAUGAUCUCGUCGUGGCAGUUUGCACGAAGAUAGAGACUCAAAAUUUGUGUUUCAAGUCCCCAUUUUACAACACACCCUCAAACCUUGAUAUUCUAAAACCACUAUUUCACGCUAAGAUCAAUUACGGAAGUUCUACCCACCCGAAUUUGAUUUUGUAAUAUCGUACAGACUCAUUAUCGUCUUGGCUAUCCACACAAAUGAUUAAAUUCAUAAUCUAAUCCCAUAUCCAUUACCGGAUUACCCUAGACCUUAUCUAACUCAGAUUUCGUCCAAGUCUGGCCUAGGCUGAAAAUUUCCAAGUUACUACUCAAAAAAUUGCUGGCCCAAAUUUCUUCCCCAUUUACUUAUCCAUAACGACGGGAAUAGGAAGUUACACACUUGAAGUGAGUAAAGAUCCAUUUCGACCUCAAAAAGAGAAUGAGGAACCUCUUGGUCCUGAAGUACCAUAUCUUAGUGCAAUUGGUGCACUUAUGUAUCUUGCUAAUACUACGAGAGCUGACAUAACAUUUUCUAUUAAUUUUUUUAGUAAGGUAUAGUUCUUUUCCUACACGAAGACAUUGAAACGAAUUUAAACAUAUAUUGUGAUAUCUAAAGGGGACCAGUGAUAUUAGUUUAUUUUAUACUAACAAAGAUAGUGCAGAUAUUGUUGGUCAUGCAGAUGCAGAUUAUUUAUCUGACCCACAUAAAGCUCGAUCUCAAACAAGCUAUUUGUUCACAGACGGAGGUAUUGUUAUAUCAUGGAGAUCUAUGAAGCACUCCAUUGUCGCUAGUUCUUCAAAUCAUGCUGAGAUAAUAGUUAUUCAUGAAGCAAGUGGAGAAUAUGUAUGGUUGAGGUCAGUAAUACAUUUCAUCAAGGAAAGAUGUGGUUUGAAGUGUGAUGUCAAGGUACCCACGAUCCUCUUUGAAGACAAUGUUUCAUGCAUAGCCCAAUUAAGAGGAGUCUUCAUAAAAGGAGAUAGAACUAAACAUAUUUCACCAAAAUUAUCCUUCACAUAUCUCCAGAAGAAUGGUGAUAUUGAUAUACAACAAAUUUGUUCAAGAGAUCAUCCAACGGGUUUAUUCACCAAAUCAUUACCAGCUUCAACUCUUGAGAAGAUGGUAGACAAUAUUGGAAUGUGAAGACUAAACCAUUUGAAUCGUGGUCCUUAUCAGGGGAAGUAAAAUAUGCAGUGUACUCUUUUUUCAUUAACCAAAAUUUUUUCCCACUGAAUUUUUCUGGUAAGAUUUUUAAUGAGGCAGCAAGCAAUGCAUAUUAGAAAUGACUAUGUAUAUAUUUAUUCUUUCACUAGGACUAAUCUUUUACAUGGACAUCUAAGAAGGAGCGUUUAAAAUAAAGGGUGAAUAUUCAUGUGAAUAGAAUUCACUCUUUGGUAGGCUACUUUUGGUCCAUCACAUUACUCCUUGAUGGCCUAGGUACUAAAUUUGUUCAACAAAUUCGGCUAUAAAUAGCUUUUCUUAAAUGAGAAAGAAAGUGCACUCCAUACAAUUCUCUCUUUUACUCAUCUACUUUAAGUGCUAUUUAAGUUUUGUUCUCAUUGUUCUUCCUAUUUAAUCCAGUUUGUUAAGCUAGUUAUUUUAUUUUAUAACAAAAGUCAAUUUUACAUGUUUCUAUCAUAUUAGCAAAAAGAAGACGUCUCUGAAUGUCUUAAAUCAGUGUUUUCAAAAAUGUUUUUUGGGGUGAGUCUAGUAGCGGGACGCAUCAAAAACGCAUCGGGGCGCAAAUGUAAGGCGUAGAUCCAUAGGGUGUAAGUCCUAAAAUUUGGGGUAUAAGCUCCAAGCUUAAAAACGUACGCCUGGGCUUAAAAACGUAUGCAUUGGGAGUUUUUCUUAAAUUAUUUUUGAAUUGUUUUGCUUUAAAUCAUAUUUUUAUCAUUGGUGUAAUGAUAUUUCUCAGAUAGUAAUGGUAAUACUUUUUUUCUUCAUUAUUGGUGAUUAAUAUCUUUCUCAAAUAAAAAUCAUUUUUUUUUUAUAUAUAUAUUAUAGGUUAUUUAAUAAAAUUUAUUUGUAAAAUAAUUGAAAGUUUUACUUUAAUUUUUUUUUAGUAAUAAAAUUAUAAAAUUGAAUAUACAUAAGACUACACCCCGUAGAUCCAUAAGACUUACACCCUGUGUCUCGGGGAUUACGUCUCGCCCUGUACUACAUAAAACGUCUCGCGUCACAUCCCCACCUUUUAAAACACUGCUCAAAACAAAUCAAAUUUCCACUCUAAUUAAACCGUGACAAUUUCUCAAUUCCAUGCAGAGUACAAUAUUAUAUAUACAAAUUAAGCACAUAAAAGAAGAGAGUUUUCAAUAUUAGAUUUUCACAAAAAUAUGUAAAGCUAGAGGACUUUAAUUUGUACCUUUUAUUUUUGGUGUGUGAUUGGAUUUUUCUUAAUAAAUAGUAAUAUAACAAAGUUAUCCUUAUUCAAGGGGAGUGAAUUGUCACCCUCUCGUUGGCAAAUUAUAACGUAUAAAUAGGUUAAAAUUUUCUUUUUAUGUAAAUAUAUUAUAUGUUAAAUUUUGUUAAUAAAUAAAAUUAUAUUUCAACUCUAAUUUGGCAUUCAUGUAGAGUAAUUAAGGCUAUCAUAUAUAGUUGGGGCACCAUGGCCAAAAUAAAAAUAAAAAUUGUUCUUUCAAAUAAAGUACACACAUAUGAUAUAUAUAUAUAUAUAUAUAUAUUAUCAUACGCAAAAUUAUCUUACAAAGUGUUCUCAUCAUCUGUGGUGUGAUCAGCUCGCAUCACAUUUAGAUUUUAGAGUGAGUCUCGAUCUAGACAUAACACAUGAAAAAAAUUAAUUAAUCUUGCUAGGUUCAUCAUUAUAUACUUAUUGAAUACUCGUACAUGAGUGUAUCAAUUAUAAGUUAGUCUCAAAAAAUGAAAUAUUUUCAUACUAGUAAUAAUUAUAUUUUAAAAUAUUCAUUUUACUCUUAAAAAAAUUAUUUAUAGUAACACACAGUUAUAUAUAGGGAUGUGUAUCGAUUAGUGCGGUUUGAUUUUAUAUAUUAUUGAUUCGGUAUAUCGGUUUGAUUUUUAAAUAUGCUUAACCAAUAACUAAAUCAACAAGAUUACUUUUUUAUCAGUCUUCAGUUUAUUGAUUUGUGGUCCUUAACGGUUCGGUUUUCAAUUUAACCAAUGAAAAAAAGGAAAAAUUACUGAAAUACACGUCUUUUGUUUCCCUUAUUUCCAAUAUCACCUUCUAUUUCUAAAAACCUCUAAAAUCCCUUAUUUCUUUAAUGUAUCUGAGCUACAUAUUAAUGUAUCCGAGCCAGUAUUUAAUGUAUUCGAGCUACAUAUUAUGUAUCCGAGCUAGUUUUUAAUGUAUCUGAGUUACAUAUUAUGUAUUCAAUGUAUGUUAUAUGUAUCCGAGCUACAUAUUAUGUAUCCGAUUUGUGUUACUUUUUAAGGGAUUAAUGUAAUUACAAACUAAUGAGGGAUAGAUUGUAAUUUCAUAUUAAAACUAUGGGAUUUAUGUAAGUUAUACAUGAAAAAAUGCUCAUAAGAUAAAUAUAUGAUUAUUCCAAUAAUUUAGCACGAUGGGACAAUAAUGUAUCUUUACAUAAUGCUCAUAAAAACAAAAACAGUAGUAACUAAUGUGAAAAGAACUAUACAAGUGCAACACAAAUAAAAGCACUAUGACAAUAAUGUCAAUUGUAAGCUAAAAGGCAAAUACAGUAUAAAUAAAAGCACUAACUAGCAAGGUAUGCAAGGGCAAAGUAGAAAAUUAUUACCGUCUUAAUGAGUUAUUGAUUUAAUCAAUGUUUAAAGAUCAAAAUUGAACCGAUAACCCGAUAAUUUAUUUUAUAAGACCAUUAAUAAUCCGAUAGCAAUAAAGCAAUAUCAUUUAUUUUGAUUUGAUUUAUUGAUCCAUUCAAUUUUCGCACAUCCAAACAUCCCUAACUUAUUUUAGACGAUAUGUUUUUAAAAAUAAUUUUAAUUUUCAUGUAAAAUCAAAUAAGGGAAGAUCAACGGAUUAAAAAUAUCUUGCCGCCGAUGGUUACGCCUUUAUCCUUUAGCAUAAAUCGAGGAGCCGAAAUUUAUAUUUGGCAGUUGGCACUUGGCACUUACUGUAUUUUUUUCUCAAUCAAUCUCAUUUAAUUAGUUGUAAAAUGUUGAAGAAAAUUAUCUUUUAUUCUCCACUAUAUAUUAUAAAAAUAAAUAUUCUUUUAACAGUAUACCAUACCCUCUGCAAUUUCUGAAAAUUAAAAAAAUUUAAAAACUAAAAAAGAUAAUUAAAAAUUUUAACGUCUGGAAAACUCUAGAACAUACUAGGAUAACAAUUAGAAACUACAAAAUAUGUAUUUUUUUUUAAUAUAUCAUACUUGUUCUUCGUGCUCGUGGUCCUACUAGAGUUGGUGUUUAUCUAUACCGUCAAAUUAGCCAUUUUUUUAAUGUUAUUAAAUUAAUAUUAUACUAUUAUUAGUAUUAUAUUCCAACAUUGGUACAAUAUAUAUAAUAUAAUAUUAGUAGUAUGUUCAGUUGAGUGGGACUAGAUAUGCACCAUUUAAAUUUUGGGGUCACAAGUAGCACUUUAAGUAGGUGUUUUGACCAAAAUUUUUGAAUAAUUUUUAUUUUAUUUAAAAUUUAUGGAAAUAAAAUUAUAUUUAAUUACAGUUUUGUAAAAAUUUGAAACAAUGUUUAUGUUUAAACUAUUAAAAUAUAAUUUUACAAAUGAAAGUGAGUUGCAAAAUAAAUUGUAGUCUUUAUUUGUAGUAGUUUGUGGGAUGAGCCUGUAUCGUCUUUUCGAUUUUAAAGUAGGGAUGUCAUUAGUCCAUUAACACAUGCUUAGAUCUAUUUUGUAAGUGAGCAGUCUUUGAUAGGUCUGCAAAAUCAAUCAAGAAAAUCUAAUAAAUCAACUAUUGAUGGCAUCACAUUAUUUUAGUCAUAUUGAUAUUUUAUAUUAUAGUCGUAUAAAUUAAGCUAUUGUCAGACUUUAUAGAAAAUAUCACAUUAAUUUUAUUAUUAUUAUAUUUUCGAGAGAUAUUGUCAGACUUUGUAGAAAUCACCACAUUGAUUAUUUUUUUUGGUGUUAUAUUCUUUAUGUUUAUUAUUUGCAUAUUUUAGUUUGACUCAGCAAGAAUAGGUAUUAUUUUUCAAAUUUGAAAUUUUCAUGAUCAAACAUAAUUUUUUUAAAAUAAAGUAAAUUACUCUAAAAAAAUAAAUCUUUUUGAUCAACGCCUUACGCAUUUGUGCCUAGAUGGUGUCAGAAUAAAAUUUUAAUACAUUAUUAAACCCACUGUAACGAGGCAAAUUUUAAUACUAUUAUAGUACGAUAAUGAAUUCCAAUUUUGCCACGCAGUGAACCACAAAAAGAUAAUAAUAAAAAUACAAAGGAAUCAACAAAUCUAUAUAUAUAAAGGUGGAUAUCAAACAUGCUGAUGUGGCGCUCUCUAAGGCCAAGAAAUCUAUUUAUCUAUUUUCUUCUUUUUUAAAAUUUUUUUUUUUUUAGGUUUUUCCUAUCAAAUAAAAUAAUUAUUUUUACCAUCUAAUUGAAAGUAAUUACCACAUAUUUAUUGCUUAAUUUAAAGUGGUACAUCAUAAGUUAUAACAACCCUUUGCCUUCUUCUUUGUAACAACCCAAUUAUGACAUGUCUUUUGGCCUUCUCCCAAAUCCAAUUAAAACAUUACGUGCUUAGUUAUCACCUUCUAUCGUUUUAUUUUAUCUUGGUCUAAUAGUGAUUUAUUGUAUUAAAUAGUAAUAUUUAAUUGUCCAUUUUUUUAAUUAAGAGUGAGUAGUAUUUAAUUGUGUAUAUAUAUAUUUUGAAAAUCAGAAAUUUGCAAGAACACUAUUCAAAACUCAAAUUCAUAACAACAUUCUUCAUAUUGCUAACCUUUUUAGAUUUUUAUUGUGCGAGCCAAUCUCCGAUCAAGAAAGAAUGGUUUUGCUCGACGAAGAAUGAUUUUGAUCAGUAUUUGANNNNNNNNNNNNNNNNNNCAGAAUUUGUUACAAUUCAAGUACAAGUAAUUUCAAGGUAGUUUUUGAAGCAGGUUAUAGACAUAAAUUUAAUAUUGAUAUUUUACAUAUCUAAAUGUUUAGUCGUUAUUCUCAUAAUAGCUCUUUUCUCCUUUUCAAUAAAUUUAUAGUACGUAGUUCUUACACUUUUUUUUUUUGUACAAACGUAGUUCUUAUGAUUAGUAGCAUGUUAGUUAAACCUUUUGUUUAGAUAUAUAAAUUUCUGAAGUUAGUGUGGCGAGAAAUCUAUAUACAUUUCUUUCUUUUUUUAUCUUUACCUUUGUAAUUAAUGAAUUGUUAGCUAUGAUUUGUUUUUCUCCUCCUUUUUUAGUUUUAAUAUGUUCCUUUCUUAUUUGACAAUUGUUAUAAAUCAUUCGUUUGUUACAUGAAUAAGGUAGAAUAUCAGGAUCAAAGUUGAAAUUAAAUUUAUAAUUUAUUUAUUUGAGAUAUAAAUUUAGAUAGAAUUAUAAUUUUGAAAUAACUUUGUCCGCAAACCAAAAAAUUCUUCAAGGACUAUGUUGGGAGCAUGAUAUAUUGAUUCAAUCUCCUUCUUUAGAAGGCAUUUCGCAAUACAAAUUAGCUAAUGUGUGGACAUAUAUCUAUAAUUUCAUAAACGAAUAUCUUUUGAAUAUCGAAUAUUUUUUUUAAAAAUGACUACAAGCGCAAAUCAUUAUUGUGAUCACUAAAUCUACAUCUUAUUUUCGUUAACACAACUUUGAUUUAGUUGUUAUAUCAAUUUUCGGACUUCCAUAUUCUUUUUUAUAGUAUAGAUUUAUAUGAUAUUAGUUUUUUAUGAUUUUAUUUAAACAUGACAUGUAAUUCUUUUCUUCCAUUUGUAAUCUUCCCCUAAUUGCUACUUUUGAUUUUAAGAUUGCCAUCUCUUGGACUAAAAAUCACUAAAAUUCUCUAAAUUCUUUUGAGACCAAAUGUGUCUCUCAUUAUGUAAACUAGGGGGUGAGUGCCCGUGCAAGGCAUGGACAAAUUUUUUAUUGAUGUGAAAAUAACGAAGGCAUAAUUGUAUUUAGAAAAUAUAUUACAUACGUAUUGUACAAGGUUAUACAUGAAGCUUAAUGUAGAAGAGAAAAUAAAGAUAUUAAUAUUGCAAUUGCAUGUAAGGUUGUUGAAGCUGAAUACUGUGUGAAGGUAAUGCAGAGCAGGAGAUGAACCAAUGCACGCUUCAAGUCUUUACUUUCAGCUUAGGAUGACUCCUGAGUGUUCCAUACGCCUCAAGAUUUUUAUAUUUUACAUAUGUAUAUCUUACAUUUAUAUUUUUAUUGCAAUUUUUUAUCAAUUAAAUAAAUUUAUAUAUACCGCGCGUAGCGCGGACAAUUUCACUAGUUGAUGACUAUUUUCCAAUACUACAAUGUUGUUGCCAGUUGUCCUAGAUGUCUUUUUUGAUACUCCCCCGAUCUAUUUUUAUUUAUUCGUUAUAUUAAAAAUAAUUUUUUUGCUCGUAAGAACAUGAGUGAGUGGUUAAGAAGUGUGGAUUUUUUUUAUAUAGGAGAUUUGGGAUCGAAUUUAGUCCAUGUAUGAUAUUCGAUUAUAAAUUUGUCGCAUAGAACUUGUAUAGUGUAGUUCACAUCUCUUGUAUAGUUUGCGACUUAUACAUAGUGGGUGGAGUUUGAAAAAAAUAAUAUUUUUACAUAUUUAACUUGAAAACUUAAAACAUAAUUAUUAUUUUGUAUUUAUUUCAUCUUUAUAAUGGAGUACUAAGUAUUGAUAUUUAAAUAUUACAAAGAACAAUAAAAUAAAAUUAUCAAUUUCAUUAUUUAUUACUUAUUAAAAAAAUAUAUUAGUCAAACAUAAGCAAGUAUAAAUAUAAAUAGGAUCGGAGGAGAAUAGUAACUUUAUGCUACUUCAUGUUGAUGGAUUAUUAUGUCUUUUAAAAAUUAAAUUAUUCAUUUAACAUUUAAUGUAUUAAAAUGUAAACUAUAAAUAUCUUGAAAUUGAAAAGUUUAGCUUGAAAAUUUAAAGAAGUUGUUAAAAUACAUGUAUCUAAACUAUUUAAAUUAACUAGGAUUAAUUAUUUAUAUGAUAAUCCCAUGUAUCCGAUUUUUCUUGUUUUUACCUGUUUUGGACAAAUUUUAUAUUUCGUGUCUCCUCCUAAAUUAGCCUAUUAAAACUUAUGAUGAUUCGUCCUAAUUUUAACUUAUAAAUGCAUUUGACUUUAAACCACUUUGACAAUGACACGUUCGUUGACAUGCCUGCUUCAACGUGUUUUUUUUUUAAAAAAAUUAAAAAUUUAUUUCUUUUGUUCUACUUUAAUUUAAUUAGUGUAUAAUUUACUCUUAUUAUAUAAGAGACAGUUUGUGCUGAAGCAGGCACGUCUCCGUCGACGUGCCUGCUUCAACGUGUUUUUUUAAAAAAAAUUAAAAAUUUCUUUCUUUUGUUCUACUUUAAUUUAAUUAGUGUAUAAUUUUUUUUAAAAUUAUGGAAUCCGUUUUAGAUAUGACUUUCAGUUUUAAAUUCAAGAAUUCACGCUGAAGCAUGCACUGUCUUCGUCAACGUGACUGCUUCAGCCAAUUUCGGAAAUUUCUUUCAAUUUUUUUUUUACUUCUUUUGUUAAUUAGUCAAAUAAAUUAAUAAUUAAUUAUAUUAAAUAUAUAUAACAAAAUUAUAUAAAAAUUAUAAUAAAAUGUCUACAUAAAUAUUUAACGUAGUAUAAUUGGAGUUAGACUUUACUUAAACUCACGUAUACUUUGACACUAGAUGCAUGUUGAUAAGUAUGUGGAUAUGUUUGAACUUGAUAAUAUGAAAUAUGAUGCUUGAGUGCAUGAGUGGAUUGGAUACUAUAGAGCUGAUAUGGUACAUGAAUGAAGCUAAUCAUCUUUAUAAUUGAGUACUAAGUAUUGAUAUUUAAAUAUUAUAAAGAACAGUAAAAUAAAAUUAUCAAUUUAAUUAUUUAUUACUUAUUAAAAAACAUAUUUAGUCAAACAUAAGCAAGUAAAUAUAAAUAGGAUCGGAGGAGAGUAGUAACUAUGCUACUUCAUGUUGAUGGAUUCUUAUGUCUUUUAAGAAAUUACAUUAUUCAUUUAACAUUUAAUGUAUUAAAAUGUAAACUAUAAGUAUCUUAAAAUUUAAAAGUUUAGCUUGAAAAUUUAAAGAAGUUGUUAAAAUGAAUGUAUCUAAACUAUUUAAAUUAACUAGGAUUAAUUCUUUAAUGAUAAUCCAUGUAUCCAAUUUUUUUUGUUUUUACCAUUUUUGGACAAAAUUUAUUUUUCGUGUCUCCUCCUAAAUUAGACUAUUAAAACUUAAGAUAAUUCGUCUUAAUUUUAACUUAUAAAUGCAUUUGACUUUAAGACGUGUCUGCUUCAGCGUGUUUUUUUUUAAAAAAAUAAUUUUAUUUCUUUUGUUCUACUUUAAUUUAAUUAGUGUAUAAUUAUCUUAUUAUAUAAGAGACCGUUUGUGCUGAAGCAGGCACGUCACCAUCGACGUGCUUGCUUCGGCGUGUUUUUUUUAAAAAAAUUAUUAUUUCUUUUGUUCUACUUUAAUUUAAUUAGUGUAUAAUUUUUUUAAAAUUAUGGAAUCCGUUUUAGCUAUGACUUUUAGUUUAAAAUUCAAGACUUCGCGCUAAAGCAUGCCCGUCUCCAUCAACGUGCCUGCUUCAGCAAAUUUCGGAAAUUUCUUUCAAAAAAAAUUACUUCUUUUGUUAAUUAGUCAAAUAAAUUAAUAAUUAAUUAUAUUAAAUAUAUAUAACAAAAUUAUUUAAAAUUAUAAUAAAAUGUCUACAUAAAUAUUUAACGUAGUAUAAUUGGAGUUAGACUUUACGUAAGCUCACGUAUACUUUGACACUAAAUGCUUGUUGAUAAGUAUGUGGAUAUGUUUGAAGUUGAUAAUAUGAAAUAUGAUGCUUGAGUGCAUGAGUGGAUUGGAUACUAUAGAGUAGAACCACACUGAUAUAGUACAUGAACGAAGCUAAUCCCCUAUAGAUCAUGGUUAUUAGGCAUACAUAAGACCCCUAAUGUUGUGUGAGUUCAUGAUGCAUUAGCUAUUAAAUGACUCUAUGACCUAUUAUAGAUAUGGUUGAUUUUGUGGUGACUAUACUUAAAUACUGUCCGUUGAUGUCUUGUGCUAAAGUUUAACUUACGUGUUGUUUGUUUCUAAUUUGAGUCGGCCUAUAAUGUCUAUCAAUACAUAAUGACUUGUAUUGAUAUUGGCUUGUACUCUUCUUUUAAUUUAUUGAAUGUAGAUCAUGUUCUAAAAGUUCUUUCGAGACCCCAAUUCUAGUGUAGUCAGCAGAUUUCGAUUAACACGACCAACCAUAGACCAUGAGAGAUUAACAAUCUUCUCUUCGGGGUCAAUGACAUCCUUGUUACCAUGAUAAAGUCCAAAUUAAUGUCUGAAUCAUCAAGAUUCAAAUCAGAUAUCUUCUCUAUCUAUAUAUUGUCAUCAUUUGAACGAGAAUGAAAGCUCUCAUGUAGAGAGAUUUAAAAAAAAUAUUGUUCUUCAAAUUGAAGGCAUCUGUCAAGUUUAAUUAAUAUUUUUGAAAAAAAAUUUACAACUUUGAAUGAAAAUCUAAAUAAAGUUUAAUAAAAUUUAUAAAUAAUUGAACAAUAAAUACGAAAUUUGUCAAUUGAGUAAAAUUUGUGGACAAACUUAACAAUAUGCGAAAUGGAAGCAGUCUCAAAACAUCCUCUUAACCAAACAAUAUUAAUCGAUUCAUGAAAUUUAUGAACAAUUUAACAAGAUAUAUCGGUAGAAUAAAGAUAAUAUCAAAAGUAGGCGUUUGGCCAUGCGAUACUAUAUCACGAUAUGGAAUAAUCAUUUGGACAUGUGAUUUCACGCUGAUUCCAUCUCAUGAUUUCAUAUCAUGAGAUGGAAUACCAUAUUCUCCAAAAAUCAUUUAUGGGAAUUUCAUAUCAUGAUUUGGGAUUUUUUAAAUACAAAAGUUGACCCACAAGUUUAUAUUUUGUUAAAACAAUCUCAUAUUUAUAUCUACUAACCAUUUAUUUCAUACGUAAAUAAACUUAAUAAUCACAUCAUUACUUUUUAAAAUUUAUUAUUUUCACCAACAUAAAAUUUAUUAUUGCUUUAAAUUUGGUGAAUAUAAAUGAUAAAAUAGGAAUUGAUUUGGCGAAUAUAAAUAAGAACGGAGGGAGUAAUACUUUUUUGGUUUUUCGUAAUAAAAAAACUUCUCUUUCGUCUACCUAUGGAAAUGUUUAAAGCAAUUUAAUAUGAAAAAGGACAAAAUUGGUGAUGUAUGUUUGAUAAUCAUUACUUCCAAUAUGUUUGAUUUUAGCACGAAAUUAAUGUACUGAAAAUGUGUAAUUGCACAUAAGUAAAACAAGGCAUGAACCAUAUGAUAUUGACACACAAGUGAAAAUUGUCAUAACUUUUACAGUGUUACAUAAUUAUUUGCGAGAAUACCAAAUGAGUGAUGAAAUAGUUAUGGUCUAUUAUCAUGUAACUAUAGUUGUGAAUGAUAUUGACCAACAAAUGGCUCAAAGUAACAAUGUUGGUUCGUCUUCUCGGUCAUAUGAUCGAAAAAUGCAAGUUCAACGUGAGAAAAUUGUUCAUACUAUGUGGGAGGAUAUAUUAAAUACUAGUACACUACAAUUUAUGCUCAAUAUUUUUUAGUGAAUUAAAGUUUGAUCAAUUAAAGUUAGAUGACACCGUUAAUUAAGUGGAGAACAAAUAGAUUUGUAAUAAUUUAUUAUGCGAUUUUAUAAUUUUUUGUUAUUUGAUAAGAUUGAAUAAACAAUUGAGGCUAUUUUAAUAGUUUUACAACUUAUGAGAUUCUUAUGUUUAUGAGAAAAAUAAAAAAACACAAAAAUUUCAUAUUGCAUGUCCAAACAAAACUCCAACUUCACGGCAUGAUUUCAUAUUAUGAUAUAAUAUCAUGAUUUCAUAUCGCAUGGUCAAACGUGCCUAAAACUAUGUCCCAUCCAACAUAAUUUGUGAAUAAGAUAAGAUUUCUCAAUCAAAUAAAACUUAUAACAAUUUAACCAAAUAAACAGAGUGAAAAUAAUAUAAUCUCUAUCCCCUUUUGCAUGAUAUGUUUCCACCAACUCCCUUUCUUGUUUUUUUUUUCUUGUCUUGAUAGUAUAUAGUUUUCACUUUUUUAAUGAUGUCAAUCAAUAAUAGGGCAGUCACAACCCCACCAAUCAAGUUGCCCCAAACUGCUGUUUCAAAAACCACUUCUUGCAACUUGCAACUCUUGUGGGGCCAAACCACACCUCAACCAUACCUACGUUCCAGAACUUUCUUAUAAAGAACCUUCUCCUCAUCCUUCCAAUUUCGAAACUACUUAUUAUUAAAAAAUUGGAUUACAUAUAUUAUUCUCUCUUGAUCCGUGACAUACUUUUCUUUUUGGUCUGUCUUAAAAAGUAUAACACAUUUUCUCAAAUAUUUAAUAAUAAUAUCAAUAUCUUAUCUAUGUUAGAUGACUAGAUCUAUCACACAUAUAAAAUGUAAUUUUCUAUUUAAAUUUUCAUGUCCAAUUAAACUACGUACAUAAAUUGAAACGGAGAAAAUAAUAAAUAAAAAAUUGCAUAGGAGGAAGAUGCUCACACCCCAAAUGUCUAGAAGUCUAGAACCUUCCACUUAAACAAUAUUUUAUUAGUACUAUCUUUUUAUUAUUAUUAUUUCUUAGCAACUCAAUAGGUGGAAUUGCUGACUCUUCUUUUCUAUUAAUAGCCUUUUAGCACUUACUUCCAAAGCUUCUUUAUCCAUGGUGUUCAGAGCAAUUUAUUCACUAAAAUAACUCAACUUCUUAACUGCAUAAACUACCUUACCCAAAAGAGAAACUUUCCAUUUCCAAAAUCCAAAAUCCAAACUUUUUUCUUCCUAAAAAUACAUAUAUUUUCCCCUGUUUCUUGAUGAUGAAUCAAUUGUAUUCCGUUAAAGAGGAGUUCCCGGGGUCAAGUUCUGGUGGGGGUG
rnacentral:lncRNA from 1 species